rnacentral:lncRNA from 1 species
AUAGAUAUAUUCAGGGUAUACAACGUAAACUAGUCUUUCUUAUAUAUUCUAACACAUCUAUAAUUUGAAACGUUAUAAUCAAGAAAAAUGUCUUCAGUAUACCUACAGCUUGAUAACGACAUAUAACCACAACGCAGUGAUAUACCUUGUCUAUAUUGUGUGUCAUAAGCUAUUCUGCCUUUUACGUUAUGUGGCGCUUAAGGAAAAAUAUGUUUCUCAUCUACUCUAUUGUGUUCUGCGUAAGCUAGGAUAUAUAUUCUAGGAAAAUCUAGGAAAAUUCGGAAAAUAUGGAAACUUCCAUAUUCGGUUAAAGAUGUUUCCUAACUAAACUAAAUCUACCAUAAAUCUUUCAAAGAAUAUUUUCUCCUCCUCCUACUCCCACGAUCUUUUCCUCUUCGUUUUUUUGUGUUUCUUUCUUCUUUAUCCACAUAAUCAUCUCUUCUCUCUAUCAAUACAACAUAGUUCUAAUCUAUGUUAAAUCUGGUGAAUGGAUGUCUAGUUGCAAUGAAGAGUGGAAAUCUCGCAC